rnacentral:rRNA from 1 species
GAUCCUACGGGAGGCAGCAGUGGGGAAUAUUGCACAAUGGGGGAAACCCUGAUGCAGCAACGCCGCGUGAGUGAUGACGGCCUUCGGGUCGUAAAGCUCUGUCCUCAAGGAAGAUAAUGACGGUACUUGAGGAGGAAGCCCCGGCUAACUACGUGCCAGCAGCCGCGGUAAUACGUAGGGGGCUAGCGUUAUCCGGAAUUACUGGGCGUAAAGGGUGCGUAGGUGGUUUCUUAAGUCAGAGGUGAAAGGCUACGGCUCAACCGUAGUAAGCCUUUGAAACUGGGGAACUUGAGUGCAGGGGAGGG